GCGCCCGUAGCUCAACGGAUAGAGCGUCUGACUACGGAUCAGAAGGUUGGGGGUUCGAGUCCCUUCGGGCGCG
rnacentral:tRNA from 1 species